rnacentral:sRNA from 1 species
AGCAGCCGCGGUAAUUCCAGCUCCAAUAGCGUAUAUUAAAGUUGUUGCAGUUAAAAAGCUCGUAGUUGAAUUUCGGGGUUAGUAGGUUGGUCAUGCCUCUGGUAUGUACUGGUCUCACUGAUUCCUCCUUCCUGAUGAGCCGUAAUGCCAUUAAUUUGGUGUUGCGGGGAAUUUGGACUGUUACUUUGAAAAAUUAGAGUGUUUAAAGCAAGCUAACGCUUGAAUACAUUAGCAUGGAAUAAUGAAAUAGGACGUUCGAUCCUAUUUUGUUGGUUUCUAGGAUUGACGUAAUGAUUAAUAGGGAUAGUUGGGGGCAUUAGUAUUCAAUUGUCAGAGGUGAAAUUCUUGGAUUUAUUGAAGACUAACUACUGCGAAAGCAUUUGCCAAGGAUGUUUUCAUUAAUCAAGAACGAAAGUUAGGGGAUCGAAGACGAUCAGAUACCGUCGUAGUCUUAACCAUAAACUAUGCCGACUAGGGAUCGGAUGAUGUUAAUUUUUAAUGACUCAUUCGGCGCCUUACG